GGGGCUACCUUCCACCCUUUGUUACCACACAAUCGUUGCUUUGGCGGGCCGCCUAGCUACUGGCUUCGGCUGGUAAGUGCCCGCCAGAGAACCCCAAACCCAAACCAUUUAUAGUGUCGUCUGAAUAAAAAGUUUAAUAUUUAAAACUUUCAACAACGGAUCUCUUGGCUCUGGCAUCGAUGAAGAACGCAGCGAAAUGCGAUAAGUAAUGUGAAUUGCAGAAUUCAGUGAAUCAUCGAAUCUUUGAACGCACAUUGCGCCCCUUGGUAUUCCGGGGGGCAUGCCUGUUCGAGCGUCAUUAUCACCCCUCAAGCUCUGCUUGGUGUUGGGACCUGCUGUCAAAGGCAGUCCCUAAAAUCAGUGGCGGUGCCGUCAGGCUCUAAGCGUAGUAAUACUCCUCGCUAUAGGGUCCUGGUGGUGUCUUGCCAAAACCCCCCAUUUUUUCAUGAUUGACCUCGGAUCAGGUAGGGAUACCCGCUGAACUUAAGCAUAUCAAUAAGCGGAGGAAAAGAAACCAACAGGGAUUGCCUCAGUAACGGCGAGUGAAGCGGCAAAAGCUCAAAUUUGAAAUCUGGCUCUUUCAGGGUCCGAGUUGUAAUUUGUAGAAGAUGCUUUGGGUGUGGCUCCGGUUUAAGUUCUUUGGAAUAUUACAUCAUAGAGGGUGAGAAUCCCGUAUGUGACCGGUCGCCGCCCCCGUGUAAAGCUCUUUCAACGAGUCGAGUUGUUUGGGAAUGCAGCUC
rnacentral:rRNA from 1 species